rnacentral:rRNA from 1 species
UGAGUAGGGCGGGACACGUGGUAUCCUGUCUGAAUAUGGGGGGACCAUCCUCCAAGGCUAAAUACUCCUGACUGACCGAUAGUGAACCAGUACCGUGAGGGAAAGGCGAAAAGAACCCCGGCGAGGGGAGUGAAAAAGAACCUGAAACCGUGUACGUACAAGCAGUGGGAGCACAGGUUUACCUGUGUGACUGCGUACCUUUUGUAUAAUGGGUCAGCGACUUAUAUUCUGUAGCAAGGUUAACCGUAUAGGGGAGCCGGAGGGAAACCGAGUCUUAAUUGGGCGUUAAGUUGCAGGGUAUAGACCCGAAACCCGGUGAUCUAGCCAUGGGCAGGUUGAAGGUUGGGUAACACUAACUGGAGGACCGAACCGACUAAUGUUGAAAAAUUAGCGGAUGACCUGUGGCUGGGGGUGAAAGGCCAAUCAAACCGGGAGAUAGCUGGUUCUCCCCGAAAGCUAUUUAGGUAGCGCCUCGUGAAUUCAUCUCCGGGGGUAGAGCACUGUUUCGGCUAGGGGGCCAUCCCGGCUUACCAACCCGAUGCAAACUGCGAAUACCGGAGAAUGUUAUCACGGGAGACACACGGCGGGUGCUAACGUCCGUCGUGAAGAGGGAAACAACCCAGACCGCCAGCUAAGGUCCCAAAGUCAUGGUUAAGUGGGAAACGAUGUGGGAAGGCCCAGACAGCCAGGAUGUUGGCUUAGAAGCAGCCAUCAUUUAAAGAAAGCGUAAUAGCUCACUGGUCGAGUCGGCCUGCGCGGAAGAUGUAACGGGGCUAAACCAUG